rnacentral:rRNA from 14 species
GGUAGUCCACGCUGUAAACGAUGCUAACUCGUUUUUGGGUUUUCGGAUUCAGAGACUAAGCGAAAGUGAUAAGUUAGCCACCUGGGGAGUACGAACGCAAGUUUGAAACUCAAAGGAAUUGACGGGGGCCCGCACAAGCGGUGGAUUAUGUGGUUUAAUUCGAUGAUACGCGAGGAACCUUACCAAGGCUUAAAUGGGAAUUGAUCGGUUUAGAAAUAGACCU